rnacentral:rRNA from 1 species
CGAACGGGUGAGUAACAACGUGGGCAACCUGCCCAAAAGAGGGGGAUAACACUUGGAAACAGGUGCUAAUACCGCAUAACCAUAGUUACCGCAUGGUAACUAUGUAAAAGGUGGCUAUGCUACCGCUUUUGGAUGGGCCCGCGACGCAUUAGCUAGUUGGUGGGGUAAAGGCUUACCAAGGCAAUGAUGCGUAGCCGAACUGAGAGGUUGAUCGGCCACAUUGGGACUGAGACACGGCCCAAACUCCUACGGGAGGCAGCAG